rnacentral:rRNA from 1 species
CCAGACUCCUACGGGAGGCAGCAGUGGGGAAUAUUGCACAAUGGGCGCAAGCCUGGUGCAGCGACGCCGCGUGCGGGAUGGAGGCCUUCGGGUUGUAAACCGCUUUUGUUCAAGGGCAAGGCACGGUCUUUGGCCGUGUUGAGUGGAUUGUUCGAAUAAGCACCGGCUACCUACGUGCCAGCAGCCGCGGUAAUACGUAGGGUGCAAGCGUUAUCCGGAUUUAUUGGGUUUAAAGGGUGCGUAGGCGGAAUAUCAAGUCAGCGGUAAAAAUUCGGGGCUCAACCCCGUCGUGCCGUUGAAACUGAUGUUCUUGAGUGGGCGAGAAGUAUGCGGAAUGCGUGGUGUAGCGGUGAAAUGCUUAGAUAUUGCGCAGAACUCCGAUUGCGAAGGCAGCAUACCGGCGGCGAUCUGACGCUGAGGCACGAAAGCGUGGGUAUCGAACAGGAUUAGAUCCCCCGGUA